GACGAACGCUGGCGGCGUGCUUAACACAUGCAAGUCGAACGGAAAGGCCCUGCUUGCAGGGUACUCGAGUGGCGAACGGGUGAGUAACACGUGGGUGAUCUGCCCCGCACUUCGGGAUAAGCCUGGGAAACUGGGUCUAAUACCGGAUAGGAGCCAUUUUUAGUGUGAUGGUUGGAAAGUUUUUUCGGUGUAGGAUGAGCUCGCGGCCUAUCAGCUUGUUGGUGGGGUAAUGGCCUACCAAGGCGGCGACGGGUAGCCGGCCUGAGAGGGUGGACGGCCACAUUGGCACUGAGAUACGGCCCAGACUCCGACGGGAGGCAGCAGCGGGGAAUAUUGCACAAUGGGCGCAAGCCUGAUGCAGCGACGCCGCGUGGGGGAUGACGGCCUUCGGGUUGUAAACUCCUUUCGCUAGGGACGAAGCUCUUUGUGACGGUACCUAGAUAAGAAGCACCGGCUAACUACGUG
rnacentral:rRNA from 1 species